rnacentral:rRNA from 1 species
AGUGAACGCUGGCGGUAGGCCUAACACAUGCAAGUCGAACGGCAGCACAGGAGAGCUUGCUCUCUGGGUGGCGAGUGGCGGACGGGUGAGGAAUACAUCGGAAUCUACUCUGUCGUGGGGGAUAACGUAGGGAAACUUACGCUAAUACCGCAUACGACCUACGGGUGAAAGCAGGGGAUCUUCGGACCUUGCGCGAUUGAAUGAGCCGAUGUCGGAUUAGCUAGUUGGCGGGGUAAAGGCCCACCAAGGCGACGAUCCGUAGCUGGGCUGAGAGGAUGGUCAGCCGAACUGGAACUGAAACCCUGUCCACGCUCCUACGGGGGGCAGCCGUGGGGAAUAUGGGACAAUGGGCGCAACCCUGAUCCAGCCUUCCCGCGUGGGUGAAGAAGGCCUUCGGGUUGUAAAGCCUUUUUGUGGGGAAAAAAAUCCAGCUGGCUAAUACCCGGUUGGGAUGACGGUACCAAAAGAAUAAGCACCGGCUAACUUCGUGCCACCCGCCGCAGUAA